UAUAACAAUUUAUCCCACUUGCAUAUUCUAUCAUUUCAUGCCAUUUGAGAUUAUGUUUGAAUAAAUAAUAAAUUCUCCCUAACCACAAGCAAAUCUAAAAACAAAAUAAAAUAAAAUUACAAAAGUUACAAACUACAAUAUCUUGAACCAAUUUAAUUGGUUUAUUAUUUUGAUUUUGUUUACCAAGAAUUUGAUUGGUUGUUUUAACCAUUUUGGACCCCACAGAAAUCAGCACCAAAAAUAUUAACUCUCCUUGCCCUCUUCACCGCCCUCUUCCAAGUAAGCCUUCUUCCUCCUCUCGGCGGUGGCAAACAGACAAAUCACAAGGAAACACGUGGCGUAAAGUCCAUGCACCUUCCAGCAGACGUAGGUGGAGUCCGAAGUGGCGUAGAAAAACUUGAGAGGUUCGAGGCCGGUGACAAGAGCUGAGAGGCAGAGGAUGGAGAAGUAGAUGGAGAGGUAGACUUGAAUGAAGAUCAAGAGCUUUUGGAGAGAGAAGUAGGCUUUGAUGCGGUUGAAGAGGAGAGAUACUAACAGCAGAGGGAUAAUCAGG
rnacentral:sRNA from 1 species